rnacentral:misc_RNA from 1 species
GAUGAAGAACGUAGCGAAAUGCGAUAAGUAGUGUGAAUUGCAGAAUUCAGUGAAUCAUCGAAUCUUUGAACGCACAUUGCGCCCUUUGGUAUUCCAAAGGGCAUGCCUGUUCGAGCGUCAUUUGUACCCUCAAGCUUUGCUUGGUGUUGGGCGUCUUGUCUCUAGCUUUGCUGGAGACUCGCCUUAAAGUAAUUGGCAGCCGGCCUACUGGUUUCGGAGCGCAGCACAAGUCGCACUCUCUAUCAGCAAAGGUCAAGCAUCCAUUAAGCCUUUUUUUCAACUUUUGACCUCGGAUCAGGUAGGGAUACCCGCUGAACUUAAGCAUAUCAAUAAGCGGAGGA